GCUAGAGUAUGGUAGGGGUCAGGGGAAUUCCCAGUGUAGCGGUGAAAUGCGUAGAUAUUGGGAAGAACACCGGUGGCGAAAGCGCCUGACUGGGCCAUAACUGACACUCAUGGACGGAAGCUAGGGGAGCGAAAGGGAUUAGAUACCCCUGUAGUCCUAGCCGUAAACGAUGGACACUAGGUGUUGCCCGUAUCGACCCGGGCGGUGCCGUAGCUAACGCGUUAAGUGUCCCGCCUGGGGAGUACGCACGCAAGUGUGAAACUCAAAGGAAUUGACGGGGGCCCGCACAAGCGGUGGAGUAUGUGGUUUAAUUCGAUGCAACGCGAAGAACCUUACCAGGAUUUGACAUCCCGCGAAUUCCCUUGAAAGGGGGAAGUGCCUUCGGGAGCGCGGAGACAGGUGGUGCAUGGCUGUCGUCAGCUCGUGUCGUGAGAUGUUGGGUUAAGUCCCGCAACGAGCGCAACCCACGUUUUUAGUUGCCAUCAUUUAGUUGGGCACUCUAGAGAGACUGCCGGUGACAAACCGGAGGAAGGUGUGGAUGACGUCAAGUCAGCAUGCCCCUUACGUUCUGGGCUACACACGUACUACAAUGCUUCGGACAGAGGGUCGCCAGGCCGCGAGGUCGAGCUAAUCCCGUAAACCGAGGCUCAGUUCAGAUUGCAGGCUGCAACUCGCCUGCAUGAAGGCGGAAUCGCUAGUAAUCGCCGGUCAGCAUACGGC
rnacentral:misc_RNA from 1 species